rnacentral:lncRNA from 1 species
AAUCUCCUUGCAAAAUGAAACAAAUUGCUGUUUUGAAAAAUAGGGGUCCAUGCACUCGUUUUUAAAUUAAAUCAGUUUGAAUGAUAAAAAUCAGUCGAAAAAUGCAUCUUUUCCCGAUAUGUCACAGUUUGACGUCGUGAAAAUAACAUUUUACGUUAGCAACGUCAUUACCUUCCCUGUAACUGUAUCGUAUGCCCUUAAAAC